UUUCCAUUUGGCAUUUUGCUUUUCAAGUUGUAUGUAAACGAGGAGGCGUUGCCCGAAGGCUGGAGUGAGUGUUUGAAACGGUUUAGGUGCAGAGGCACUGUAUCGACAGCAGGGGGAGCUGAAUGCUGAAGAGCACAGUGAGUUGGGCAGAGCAGCAUGAGUCCAAACUAGAGGAGGAACUGCCCCGUUCUCUCACAUCCACAUUGGCUACUAGCAAUGGCAAAGCCAGAGCUAGCCUCAUUGCUGAGACUUCUGCCUCAUUUGUACAUUUUUUUGUCCAUUUGUGGUGUCUGGAUCAAGAGCAAAAUCAGACAUCUGUCCUUGUGUUUAGUGUCUCUGCUGCUCCUAAGCGUAAACCGGAAUUGCGGUGUCUGUUUUGUUUUCAGCAAUAGUUGUCACCUUUACACUUAUGCCCUUGUGCUAGGGCUCAUACCCAGCUCUAGCACAAGGUAGCACAAAAGUCAAGAUGUUGUGAUAUGUAGCAUAAUAAGCUAGCGAAGCUCUGUUAAUGGAACCGCGUUCCCACACAUGCACAGUUGCGUCUGACUUACACGAAACUUCUCUCCAGAGACUGAAAACAUGAUAUUUUUAUUAUUAUUAUUGUUAUUGGUCUUUGUAGCCAAUUCUAAACAAAUAUGCCCAUAGUCUUCGUAAUGAAGGCAUGUCACCCAGUGCAGCGGUGUGACUCAUUGACGUGUCCAAAUCCAUUAAUCCAUUGGCAUUUCUGCGAUUCCAUAGCUGCUUCUACCAUGGGAUCAGAAGCUGCUGUGGAGAGAGGUUGAGGACUCGGCUGUUCUCCCAACAUUCAGCCGGCUGCACCAUUCGACCAGCCACGUCCAUUGCAAGACCA